rnacentral:rRNA from 1 species
UACUAGAGUAGCACUCGCAUAUCAAUAAGCGGAGGAAAAGAAACUAACAAGGAUUCCCCUAAGUAACGGGCGAAGUGAAGCGGGAAGAGCUCAAAUUUGAAAUCUUAAAGGGUUUCCCUUUACGAAUUGUAGUUUAAAGAAGUGUUUUCUGUUGAGGUUUUGGUAAAAGUUCUUUGGAAUAGGACAUCAUAGAGGGUGAGAAUCCCGUAUUUGACCUUUACUUUCAACUUUGUGAUACACUUUCAAAGAGUCGGAUUGUUUGGGAAUGCAGUCCAAAAUGGGUGGUAAAUUUCAUCUAAAGCUAAAUAUUGGCGAGAGACCGAUAGCGAACAAGUACCGUGAGGGAAAGAUGAAAAGAACUUUGAAAAGAGAGUUAAACAGUACGUGAAAUUGUCAAAAGGGAAGCGUUUGACACCAGUGUUGUUUUUCUGAAAAUCAAUUAAAGAACUGUUUAUGCUAAGCUGUUUAGACUUUAUCAGCUAUCUGUUUAGUUUUAGGCUUUUCUUUAAUGCACUUUUCAGAUAACAAGUCAACAUCAAUUUCUUUUGCUGUAAAAAAGCUUGAGGAAGGUGGCUUGAGAUUCGUCUUAAGUGUUUAUAGCCUCUUGCCUAUGCAGUCGGAGAGAUUGAGGUCUGCAGCGUAGAUCCUUCGGGGCUAAAUGCAUUUGUGCUAAGUUAUAGCAUUUUAUAGACAACUUGUUGACUAUGAUUUGUCUUGUAGCUUACUCGCUUAUGUUAUUUUACCUACGCUUAGGAUGUUGAACUACUGAGACAUAGA